GACGAACGCUGACGGUGUGCUUUAGACAUGCAAGUCGAACGAGAAAGCCCUUCGGGUUAGUAAAGUAGGCGAACGGGUGAGUAACACGUGGGCAAUCUGCCCCUCGCAGGGGGACGAACCGGAGGAAACUACCGGCUAAUACCCCGUAACGUUCAAAGGGAGGCAUCUCUCUUCGAAGAAAGGUAGCUUCGGCCAUCCGGCGAGGGAUGAGCCCGCGGUGCAUUAGCUAGUUGGUGGGGUAACGGCCUACCAAGGCGACGAUGCAUAGCUGGUCUGAGAGGAUGAUCAGCCACACUGGGACUGAGACACGGCCCAGACUCCUACGGGAGGCAGCAGUCGGGAAUCUUGCGCAAUGGGCGAAAGCCUGACGCAGCAACACCGUGUGUGUGAGGAAGG
rnacentral:rRNA from 1 species